rnacentral:rRNA from 1 species
CACAAGUUCAUUAUAAUUCAGACUACUACGUAAACGGUUAUUUUCUUUGAUCUUCCCGAAUCUGAGUUUACCGGCUUCCCUAUUCCAAGGGAUAGCAGUAGGUGAGUAGGAGCUACGUAGUGUUUGGGUAGCUAAACAAAUCAAGACGUGUCUCCGUGGCUACGACGCCAAGUACCGCGGCGGCCGGCAUCGGUCUCCCGAACGAGCAUGUUGCGGUGCGCGGUCUCCCGCAACGGCCGGCAGCCAAAGACGCGGCACGGCCUCCUGCAGCGGAGGUGACGGCGAGUACCACGCGAGUGCGGCUUCCCGACCUAUCGGCGCAGCACCAACCAGCGAGGCACCCUCGGCGGGACUCCAGCUCUCGGAGCCUACUACCGGUACACCGCCCGAGCAGCGACACGCGGCUCCUAAGUCUGGCUACCUCCCGCGGCGGCCCCACGCAGCCCGCGUCUCCCACAGCGGAGACGGACCCGACACCUGGCGCGACGGCGCGCGGACUCCCGUAACGGUACGGCCCGUGGCCGGCAACCGGCGACGCCGGCGGAGGCCCACGUCCGACCCUCGUCGGCCCGGCUUCCAAAGGCGGCGAGGCGAUCCUCGGACCGGCUCCGUCGCAACAGGCCCGGUACCCAGCGGCGGCUUCAAACGGAACCUGCCGUACGUUUGCUGCGGGACCUCCAAUCACGAAUGAAGCACGUCCUUGCUUUAACCUUAACUUAGUGGACUAACUACAUAGUUAGUUCUAUGUCUCAACCAGAAACCUACUAACAGCAAAACAUGCUCUACACAAUGUCCCUAGAACAUACAAAGGAAGACUAGGGGAGGGGCAAGAAUGGAAAGAGAGACCUAAAACACGAAAGUAGAGUAAACGUAAACCAAAGAAGGGUCUAACUCUCUAAGCGGCGCGGACCCGGCACUUGCGGAGCCCGACUACGCCCUCCAGCUCCGGUGCGCUGGUGCGCGGCCGACCUCUGAACGCGGCGGCACGGCAAGACGUCGCACUCCGCACGUGCGUAGUGCGCGGCCACCCGAACCUGACAGCGGUCAAGGCGCAACGAGCGUCCGCUCGGCAAGCACUUUGGCGAGGCGGCCCCUGUUGCGCUACGCAGUUUCUCCAGACCCGAGCGUGAGCAAGCCGACAGAGAGCCGGUAGUUCCUGUAGCGGCCACUGCCUAACUAUCACACGCCCGCGGCGGCCGCGACGGUCAAACAAAUCACCGGAUUAGCGAACGAGCCCAAUCCCGUUUCCCGACUAUUGCACAACUUACAUUUUCACUAACUUACUUCCUUUCCGAGGACUAAAGUAACUAAGAGUUCUAU